rnacentral:tRNA from 1 species
AUCUAAAUAGCUUACUAGAGCAUAAUAUUGAAGAUAUUAAGGAAAUAUUUAUAUUUUUAGAUA